UCCAAACCAUAGUUAGUUAAUUCGGAUUCGACAAAAAUUUGGUACGGAUAUAGUACGCAUAAAAUUUAUUUUCUAAUUUUUAAAUUCGUUGAAAAAUUCGGUUUAAAAAACGGAUACGGUAUAAAAUUAUAAGAUAUAAAAUAUAAGAUAAUUUAUAUUUAAAAAUAAAAACUAUAAGUUUUUAAUUCAUAUUUUUAAUAAUUCGUGAAUAACUCGGCUGGCCCAAAAAUUCAUGAAUAAUUUUCUUUUUUUGAAAAAAAAUCGUAAACGAACUGUUUAAUUUGAAUUUUCAAUAAUUCGUGAAUAAUUCACGAAUUAAGUAACUAGGGUCCAAACACUACAUCGUCACGUGACAUGCACGUGAAUCCACGGGAUUCGCAUGUCGCAUGCGGUCGCCCACGCAGAGCCUGCCGACCUACCCGAGGUGAUAAGCUCGACUGCGACGAGAAUGAGGUCACAACCCACGACCACAUUCCCUUAUCUUCUCUUAUCCCAGAGCUAGAUAACGAUGUUUUAAAACCCAGGUUGAUGUUGAUCCGACCUGGCGUGCCGGUCGAACCGUGAUCCAAUACGCUUUCUUCUUAUUAUUAUAUAUUUUAAUAAUUAAUUAAAAUUUUGCAACAUUUUUUUUUUAAAUAUGCAUUUUAAACAAAGAAGUAGAUCUAACAGCGAAAAACUUAUGAGUACAUAAGGGACUAUACUUAUAAGAGUAUAAUAGCCGGACUAUAUAUAUAUAUAGAACUAGGCUACUAUAUUAUUAAUAGCACCAAGUCAUUGGUGCUACCAGGUUUUUGGCCAUUGGAUUAAGAGAUGUGCGGUUAGGAUGAUGUGGGCCCCCUAGGGUUGAGUGGGUGGUUGGUUGAAUAGUAUGAUCUAACGGGUGAAAAUGAUCAAAAGGGUAGAUCUAACGACGGAAAACUUGGUAGCACCAAGUGCUUUAUGCUAUUAAUAGCAUAGUAGCCGGACUAUAUAUAUAUA
rnacentral:lncRNA from 1 species